AUUGAACGCUGGCGGCAGGCCUAACACAUGCAAGUCGAACGAGUGGCGGACGGGUGAGUAAUGUAUCGGAACGUACCGGGUGAUGGGGGAUAACCACUCGAAAGAUUGGCUAAUACCGCAUACUAUCCAUGGGCCGAUAAGGGAUUAGCUAGUUGGUGGGGUAAAGGCCUACCAAGGCGACGAUCCGUAGCGGUCUGAGAGGAUGAUCAGCCACAUGGGACUGAGACACGGCCCAGACUCCUACGGGAGGCAGCAGUGGGGAAUUUUGGACAAUGGGGGCAACCCUGAUGCAGCCAUGCCGCGUGUAUGAAGAAGGCCUUCGGGUUGUAAAGUACUUUUGUUAGGGAAGCGGUACCUAAAGAAGAAGCACCGGCUAACUACGUGCCAGCAGCCCGGUAAUAC
rnacentral:rRNA from 1 species